GAAGGCUGUUAUCCUUCCAGUAAAGCAGUGGUGAAAAAUUGUUUGUUUUUUUUUCAGCUGUGGUCAAGAACCCUCCUAACAACCUCUGGAUAAUCGCUGCAGUGUUGGCCCCAAUCUCCGUAGUAACAUUAAUUAUUAUCAUCAUCACAGCUGUACUGUGCAGAAAGAAUAAGAAUGACUUUAAAGCUGAUGCCAUUGGUAACCUCAACCCCAGAGCUAAGAUGGCAUAUCGGAGAGAUGUGGGCUAUUAUCACCAGCCAGUCCAGGGUUUUGACUAUGCUAAGCAGCACCUGGGCCAACAGGGUGGAGAUGAGGAGAUGCUGCCUGUCAGUCAGGAUACCUUAGUGAUGUCACUACAAAUUCGGGAUGCACCGCUUUCACUAGAAAAGGCCCUGCAGCAAGAUGGAACUGCCAACAAGAAA
ensembl:lncRNA